rnacentral:rRNA from 1 species
UAGGGAAUCUUCCGCAAUGGGCGAAAGCCUGACGGAGCAACGCCGCGUGAGUGAUGAAGGUCUUCGGAUCGUAAAACUCUGUUAUUAGGGAAGAACAAAUGUGUAAGUAACUAUGCACGUCUUGACGGUACCUAAUCAGAAAGCCAAGGCUAACUACGUGCCAGCAGCAGCGGUAAUACGUAGGUGGCAAGCGUUAUCCGGAAUUAUUGGGCGUAAAGCGCGCGUAGGCGGUUUUUUAAGUCUGAUGUGAAAGCCCACGGCUCAACCGUGGAGGGUCAUUGGAAACUGGAAAACUUGAGUGCAGAAGAGGAAAGUGGAAUUCCAUGUGUAGCGGUGAAAUGCGCAGAGAUAUGGAGGAACACCAGUGGCGAAGGCGACUUUCUGGUCUGUAACUGACGCUGAUGUGCGAAAGCGUGGGGAUCAAACAGG